UACGGGGGGGGCAAGCGUUGUUCGGAAUUACUGGGCGUAAAGGGCGCGUAGGCGGUUCGUUAAGUCCUGUGUGAAAUCCCCCCGGCUCAACUGGGGAACUGCACAGGAAACUAGCGGGCUUGAGUUCGGGAGAGGGAAGCGGAAUUCCGGGUGUAGCGGUGAAAUGACGUAGAUAUCCGGAGGAACACCGGUGGCGAAGGCGGCUUACCUGGACCGACACUGAA
rnacentral:rRNA from 1 species